UGAAUUUUGAUAUGAUGUAUCUGACAAACAUUUUUAUUUUUUUUAUUUUUGUGUGUGCAGUGGAUGAGCAGGAGAAACGCUGCAAAGGAGAAAUAACAAUGAGAUGAACAUUUAUUUCAGUCCAACAAUUAAUCUUCAAGAAUGCGAGAGGCAGAGCUCUAGGAGCCGAUUUCUGCUGACUGGAAGGGCAAAUAAAGAAGACACAGGAUGAUCUAUGCACUUCAUUAACUGUCAGCAUAGGAGUUAACAGAGACUGUGAUGUCCUCAACGCAAAAACCGCAGAUUCAAAUAAUAAGGAAUGUGACAGGGGCCUGACAAACUAUUCUUGAGUUGUAUUUGCCAUGGAAAUAUUCUACCACAAAUUUCAAGGCCAGCAGAUAUUUAAAGAUGAAACCUUGUGCACCUCUCACUUUAAAAAUUUUCUUUCUCCAUGCUCACAUUUCUUGAUUCUCUUUUGAGUGUUAUAUUUUCCCAUUUCAUCCUUGGAUAUGUUCCUGUGCAAGUGGUCUUUUCAUGACUAGACAGCUUUUUUUAAAGAUUCUCUUUUCUAUCACGUUUAUUAAGCCUCAAACUACAGGUUUCUCAAAGGAGGUAUAUAAAAAGGCGACAUUUCACCAAUUGCAUGUGUUUUGUUGAUGACCAAACUGCACUUGGACUCUGAGGAAGAUCUCAAAGCAUCGCCAAGCUUUUUAAAGCUUUUGGAGAGAUCAAAGUGAAUCAACAGGUCAUAAUUUAUCUCACUCUGAACCUCUUACUAUUGUAAUGUGUGCACUUUCCUUGUCAAAUUUUGAAUAAUAAUUCAGUUAUAGAACUUCAAUUAAAAUGUCCCUUUCUUUUGGAGAAAUGAGCUCUUGCUGUGAGGCUGGAAAAUAUGUUGAAAGCAGACUGGAGAUGGAAACAUGACUGUGG
rnacentral:lncRNA from 1 species